CUUCUCCGCUAUGUUAGACAUGCUGUAAAGAACAAACCCGAUACUUGAAUGCACAAAUUCCUUCUUCGCACGUGCACAUGAACAUACUUCUACUUUUAUUUUCACGCACAAUAGAACGCUAAUCUUGUCCGAGUCUCUUCGAACCCCUUACCAAAAAUCCAAUUUUGUCGGUUACCCUUAUUCAUGCCAGAAUAUUAUGCCUCACAAAACAUGUAACUUCCCAUUAUUUCUUCUUAAGACCUCUCCCUCU
rnacentral:lncRNA from 1 species